UCAUUACAACACAAAAGGUUUUUUUUUAACAAAAAUACUUAGUGCUUUUAAGUUCUUUCUGCUGCCUCUUUGCUACUUCGACUUGUUUGGAUCUCGAAUAGUGCUAUCACUUUCCGUUGGCAUAUUAAUAAAUUCAUAUUAAUCGUAUCCAGGAUUUGGAUUUCAAAUGCAAGACAUGAAGAUGUUCAUUUGGAACAAGAUUCAAAUAGUUUUAGUUCCUGUCCUAUUAUUUCUAUUUUUGUAUUAUUUUUUCUUAAUUAUUUUGGCAUGUAAUACUAAACUCUUUAUAUAAUAAAAGGGGGAAGAAUACAUGGGGAGGGAAUAUACUUGCUACUUGCUUUAGUGAUUUAUUUUUAGUUCAUCUUAAAUUUAUGUGUGCUUGAAUAUAUGUGAAAUUAGUUAUA